AGUGAACGCUGGCGGUAGGCCUAACACAUGCAAGUCGAACGGCAGCACAGUAAGAGCUUGCUCUUACGGGUGGCGAGUGGCGGACGGGUGAGGAAUACAUCGGAAUCUACUUUUUCGUGGGGGAUAACGUAGGGAAACUUACGCUAAUACCGCAUACGACCUACGGGUGAAAGCAGGGGAUCUUCGGACCUUGCGCGAUUGAAUGAGCCGAUGUCGGAUUAGCUAGUUGGCGGGGUAAAGGCCCACCAAGGCGACGAUCCGUAGCUGGUCUGAGAGGAUGAUCAGCCACACUGGAACUGAGACACGGUCCAGACUCCUACGGGAGGCAGCAGUGGGGAAUAUUGGACAAUGGGCGCAAGCCUGAUCCAGCCAUACCGCGUGGGUGAAGAAGGCCUUCGGGUUGUAAAGCCCUUUUGUUGGGAAAGAAAAUCAGCAAGUUAAUACCCCGCUGUUCUGACGGUACCCAAAGAAUAAGCACCGGCUAACUUCGUG
rnacentral:rRNA from 1 species